UUCGUGUUCCGGAAUGGGUUAGGAAAGAAGGCCUCUGGUGUCCUUUCUAACUGAAAUUUUGUGAACUUCUAUACUGUGGUGUGAGGGCAAGCAUUCCUGUGGAGGGAGGGGUCUUUAGGUGCAGCUGGCCUCCUUUUCUUCCUUCUAUUAGAAGACAGACAAACUAUCCCAGGAAAUCAGCAAUGUCAACAACAACAACAAGGAACAGCUUCUGAUGGAGGAGAGGCUAACUCCGGAGAAGCUUGACAGUAUCCAGAAGCAGCUGGACAGGUUGACCCAGCCUGAGGCCAAGACUGAAGCCACAGCUGUCACCAGUGUGGAUGCCUUCCUGUGCAGACAUUUGACAUUUUAGCUGAAGAGGGUGCUAGAAUGUGUUGGCCACAGCAGCAUCAGAGGAUCCAAGGAGACAGGCACAGAAGAGGCUGCUGAAUGGGAAAGUGCAUUGUUACCACGGUGGGUGAGGGAGAGGUAGACACAAAAAUAUUCAUCUUCUAUCUGUGUAAGAGCUCAGAUAAACAAAAAGAAUCAAAGACACUUAGGAGACAGUGACCUAAGGAAGCAGAGAAGAAGAUCUGGAAGAUAGAUGCUGGCAGCAAGGAUUAAUAAAAGAGAAUAAAGGGAGACAUAAAUGGUAGGGAUGUUACUGCUAACUGGCGCUGGGUCCCUCCUUAUUCUUUUCUGCCCUCCUCGUCUGUCAUGGAGCUUCCCAGGACACAGAAGAAAGAUCAAGAAGUCAGGCCUGAUCCUGGCAAACAUCACUAGGUUCAUCUUCAUCCUAGAGGUUCCCAGAGAGUUUGGCCACCUGCCAUUUAAGUGAGAUGAAGCUUUGCCUGCAUCAAUUUGGAGAGACUUUGUAGCCUGGCCUUUGAGAUGCCUACCUGAAUAA